AUCUGAAUCACCUGGGGAUCUUGUUAAAAUGCAGUUUCUGAUUGGACGAGUCUAGGGUGGGACUGAUGCUGCUUUUCUAACAAGCUCCCAAGUGAUUGGAUU
rnacentral:pre_miRNA from 1 species